CCACCUGAUGCUUUGCCUUUUGUCAUGUUGAUUCCAAGCACUCACUGUUCCUUCAGAAGGCCUCACCUUUUGGACAUGCCAUUACCAAAUGUUUCUGUGCUAGUGUUUUGUUCAUCUAUUACAUUGAGCUGUAGUUUUGAGAUAUUGCUUCUGGGGUCUUAAAAAAUGGCUGGCUUGAGAAGCCUAUGGGCUCUCCUUGCAGGAUGCUGCUUCUGCACCAUGCAGACAACCUCUUGGUUUUUUCCAAGCUCAGUGACAGUUUUCUGUACAGCCAUGAACAGAUAUCACAACCAGUCUUAAUUUCCCAACCUCAAGAGGUAGAGGUUGGGUUUGUUCCACUGUGUGCUCUUUUUGUUUUAAACCAUUUCUGUGGAGGGAUUUUUUUUUCCUUCCUACAUGUGGUAAAUUGAAGCUGACACCGGAGCGGUGUACAACAUUAGAUUUCAACAGGACCCCUAAGAGUCCUUCCAAGAGUGUUUCUUUUAACAAGGUUGCAUGUGGAGACACGUGCCAACCUCAUGGGGGGGGUAUCAGGUACCUAUGAGGCAGCAUGGGACAGUUAUAUUUCUCUUAAGUGAGUGCUGAUUCUCUCUAGGUCCCGACCAUCUGCUGAGAGAGAAGGUCCAUACAGCCACACACAACUCCCCAGACCUCAUGGGACUCUGCACCAGUGGGAUUCUGCAGACGUAUAUUUGCAGUAUCACAGUCAGCAACAGCACAAGCUUGGUUAGAACUUGUAACUGGCUGGGGACUUGAGUCUGUCUGUCUUCAUAUCACCAGAGUCCAAAACCACUCUACUUCCUAUGCCCAAAAGAAAAGUAACAUCUGUUGUGACAGAUUUAUGCAUAUGCUCACCCUUGCUUCAGAGUAAAGAUCUGCAGUGACACUGACUUGCAAAAUGCAAUGAAGACACAGGUAGGUAGGCAAAGGAGUGUGACAUGGGACACUGACACCAUGCAGGUAUGUACCUUACAAAACCACCAAUUCCAAUUUUUUGCUAUUGGAGUGUUUCAGUGCACAUCCUCCAUCUGAGCAAAGGCUGCGAGCCAGGGCUGAGCACUGUGCGUGCCCUGAACUGAAGGAGCAGUGAAAGGUACUGUCAAUAAAGCACUAUUUAGUGCUUAUCUCAGCAAGCUUCUACCAGGUGCUAAUGCACCUGCUCCUUAGCACCCCUGGGAAUGCUGUGACAGCUGCUGGUGGGAGCAGUGUAUGAUGGGCAGUGCCAGAGGGCGUGCAAUUCAGGGUCCCAAACCCCAUGGAGUAUGCUGAAUGGGAAAAGUUUUGAAGUAGGUUACUUCCUAGGUGGUUCAAACUUGUAAUUCUUCCAAGUUGCAUUUAUCUUUUACUAAUGUUCUCAGACUGCCUCUGUUCUGCUUGUGUGACUGACAGAAGGGCAGGUGUCUGUGCAGAACCAGUUUUGCUGUAAACCUUCUUAUACACAGAUUCCAACUACUGAUUGUCACAGGCAAAUCUAAUUUUAAAAUGCCAAACUUGAUACUUGAAGGAACACGUUCUACAGUGGUAAGUUUCUAUCGUACUGUGAACUUCCUACUUUCUUAGAUAUCUAAGAGCCUGGAACACAAUAGGUGCACAGGAGGAAAGGAUGUAAGACGUAAUGAAGAAGAAAAUCCAAUGAUUUGGUAGAGAUCGACCCUCUCCUGUGAUCAUAGUAACCCUUCACAAAUCUCUUUAAUUCUAGUUAAAAAGCAAACGAACAAAAUAUCCAAACAAAUACACAAAACCUUUAAAAAUUUGGAAAAUUAUUUUUUUCUAAUUAAAUUUAAAUGUAAAAAUUUGUCUGUUUUAGGUAGAGCACAGAAUCUGUCUUGUCACAGAUAAGAAGCCUUUUCCACAAAGAAGUCUUUCACAGAACUGGAGAUGGACCUAAAGCAAACUGGAUCUCAAAUGACCUGACACCUAUCUGCCUAACAACAGGCAACUGUAAGUAAGUGUCAUUACUGUUCUUUGAUCAGGUUAAAAUGGAUCAAUGACUACAGCUGGUAGGUCCUGCGUUGCUAUCAAGAUUUAUUUUUCAGGUGUUUCACUGUAGCUCUGCAUUCAAUGGAACCGUGGUAUUCCCUCACUAAAUGCCAUCUCUGUUUUCCUAGAGCCAAAAGGGGUGAGAAUGGAGAGGUGAAAGGCAGCAUUCUGACUCUGAAAGAGUUCCCCAGAAUCCUGAUGUGGAGUACAGUGAGCGUUGCUUGUCUGAAAUCAGAGCAGCUUUUCAUGUCAGAAAGCCAGACAGAUUUAGAUUUUCAGCAUCUGAGACUGAAAUACAUACAAAGUUCAAUUCCAGUGUCUUGGUGAUCUUGCUGAUCACCAAAUGCUGAUAUAUAGGCAGAUUCACCACCUCAGUACAAAUUCUAUUUCUGUUAUUAUUUGUGCUAAAUAGUAUUAUUAAGGGACAGAAUCAAAAUUUGGACUGAGUUGCAGCAGUGUGAUCCAUUGGCAGUGCUGUGCCAACAGCAGAGGAAUGGGCAACUCUGUCAUCUCACACAAACGAUGAACAGAUCCGAUAAGCCCCUGUUUUAGUAUGCUUUGGCAAUGUUACAUAAUCCCUGGAGAUAUUCAAGGAAAGGCUUGAUGGGUUCCUGGGCAGCCUAAUCAGUGGUUGGCAACCCUGCCCCCAGCAGGAGAGUUGGAACCAGAUCAUCUUUUGAGGUCCCUUCCAACCCAAGCCAUUCUAGGAUUCUAUGAUAUUGUGAAAGCUGGUUGUAUUAAUAUGAGCUUACUUAUAUCUCUUGGCUGUUUUUUUUUUUUUUUUCUUUUCUUUUUUUAAUCGUUUUUAAAACAGAUCAUUGCAAGCUCUUGCUAAAAUCAUGACUCGUAUUUUACAUUUAUCUAUGCUCGCUCUUCAGGAAAAUGAUUAUCCUCAGGGAAUGCUAAUCAAAAUGUCUCUGUAAGUAGUGCCAAAAUGAGGUCUUCAGUUUUCUUUUGAGUGUGUGGUGAGGGGCCAUUAUUUUCACACAUUUUGUUUAAAUAUUUUUUAUAACGCUUUUCUUAAUAUAAGGAAUUUUUUUUUCCUAUCUCCAUUGUUUUACUUGCUUUACUGUAAAUACACUCUGCAUAUAGGUUACACACACACACACAUAUAUCUCCUUGGAAUUUAACUCCUAAUUUCUUUUUAUCUCAUGCAACCAAGCCUCAGCUGGAAUUCUGCUGAAGAAGAAAAUCUGCAGUGCCUUUGUCUUGUUAUCAAGCUUGUGAUAAUGACAGACUUGGAAAGUUCUGUGCUGCUGCCUUCUCAGACUUUCCUUUGACGUCACUUUAGGGAUAGAGAUUAGGUGAGUUACUGUUCAAGGGUGGGUUCAAUAAGUGACUACUAUCUGUUGGCCUGCACAGGGAUGGACAGUUGUGAUUGGACACAGACUGUAACUGAAGGUGUAAGGCGCUUUUUACAAGGA